rnacentral:snoRNA from 1 species
CAGCAUGAGUUGCGUCCUGCUGUAAAUAUGGACAAACAAUAAAGUUGAUGAUAUUUACGUGAGCACUAUCUGAGUCGUAAGAUGCUCAUAAAGUACCAUCACACAUAC